rnacentral:rRNA from 1 species
AUACGUAUGGUGCAAGCGUUAAUCGGAAUUACUGGGCGUAAAGCGUGCGCAGGCGGUUCGGAAAGAAGGAUGUGAAAUCCCAGGGCUCAACCUUGGAACUGCAUUCAUAACUACCGAACUAGAGUAUGUCAGAGGGGGGUAGAAUUCCGCGUGUAGCAGUGAAAUGCGUAGAUAUGCGGAGGAAUACCGAUGGCGAAGGCAGCCCCCUGGGAUAAUACUGACGCUCAUGCACGAAAGCGUGGGUAGCAAACAGGAUUAGAUACCCUGGUAGUCCACGCCCUAAACGAUGUCAACUAGCUGUUGGGCCCUUCGGGGCUUAGUAGCGUAGCUAACGCGUGAAGUUGACCGCCUGGGGAGUACGGCCGCAAGGUUGAAACUCAAAUGAAUUGACUGGG